GGUGACCUCAGUGUAAAGAGUUUCUUGGUUGCUGGAGGGACCUGAACAACGAAAAUGAAAAAGUGGUCAGUCCUAAAACGGGAAAAUGGUAAAUACCAUCUGAACAGAGAAAACUUAACACAAAAUCAAGAAAGUGCCCAAAACAGUAACAAGGCUUUCAGUGAAAAGAUGAACAGACCAUCUCCAAGCCCCAGAGAAGCCAUGAGACUGGACUGUGGCAGGUCACAAUUCAGUUCUUCCAGAUCUUAAAGUGUCGGCAGUGGCCAUGGUCUCCCAAGACCACAAAAUGAUCUCAGGAGAGCACCGUGUGCAAGCAUAUUCCUACAGCUACGACAAGAAAUGUGUGAUCACAGGACCUCCAAGGAAAGGCCGACUCUCUCACCUGAAGUCAGAAGCAAGGGCUGGACACUUGGUGCGAUGGCUGAACCCAGGAAAAGUCCAUGGGCUCCACAACGUUUCAGGGCUAGGAAGUGAAUCGCACACCUGAGAAAUGCGACAAUCUAGCUGGCACAUGGGUUGCACUCGGGGAUUCCAACUUUCAGAUAACCUCGACUUAUGACAGCUUCUGUAGAGAUGCAAGGGUAGACCAGGAAACUACUCCAUUCCCUGCAUCCAAGGAGAUCUGCAUCUGUCUCCCCCAUACACUCCCCACUUGUGCAUUUUGUGCCAUUUAAUAAGAAUCACACUAUUUUUCUAACUAAUUUUGCCAAAGGGGGGGAAAAAAAGAAUCCAUCUUUAACUCCUUAUAUUGAUCUUCCCUUCUACCCACACAGAAAAAUCCGGAUCCAUGGACUCCAAAUUGCUUGCCACGCCCCAAAGAUGUAUCAAGUACCAGAAAGGUUCCAUUAAUUGAUCCACUCAUGACCCUCUAGCUAAAUGACUCAUGUAGUUGUCCUUUUCCUAGAGGUUUUAAGAAAGAACUGCAGUAAUAAACUGACGCCUAUAUUCUACCAUUCGGAGGUGUAAACCCAAACCAGAGACUGUCAGAAAAAAAAGAAGGGGUUUGGAAGAAAUGGUCUCUGCAUCAGGGCUCCCCACAACAGCUCUAAGGAAAAGAACGGGUUUCUGACUCACAUGGAAAAUAUAAAUCUGCGGAGCUUCUUGCAUUAGCAGGAAUGGGAAAUUGCUUCACUUCAUCAAUUUUGAAACUUAAACUUAAUUGCUUCUUUCCCUUAAUGCUCUCUUCCCACCCCCAGUCUCUUUAAACUUCAGAAGUCUAAGAGAAUCCUUGGUUACAGAGCACUCGGCCGGCUCAGGACUUUUCAAAUUCCAAAACAAGUCCUAGCAGGCUGGAACUUUCUUCUGGGAAUAACAUUGUUAAUGUUAUUAACCACCUUUGUUUCUCUCUCUCUCUCUCUCUCUCAAUCUGGAACUGCUUUAAAAAAAAAAAGAAAAAAAGAAAGUCACUGGAGGGCCUCCUGGUCCUUCCCACAGACAUGGGUAGCUAUGAAUCAUUUCAUACAGUUUUUUACCACUGAAAGAUGAAUGAAAAAGAAAGGGGUAGCUGAGAAGAGAAACCCUCCUUCGCUUAGAAUCCUGCACACACCUCAAGUAUGGCUCAGGACCCACGCUAUGCAGUGAACCUUACACACAGAAAGAGAACAGCUCACCCUGAGAGGGAUGGCCACCACUGAAAUUAUGCCUGGGUUUUUUGGGGGGGGGUUUGUUGUUGUUUUUACCACCAACGCAUACAGGUUGGAAGGGCCUGUGGCUUGUCCGGGGCUUUUUACCACCCAUGCAUACGGGUUCUAAGGGACUGUGGCUUGUCCAGAGCUAGAGGAGCGCUAACUCCUGACCCUAAGUCCCAGAGGGGGCCCACAGCUCCUAUACCUAAAUAAAGCAGUGCUCGGGCAGGUUUUUAUGUGGCCCUAUUAAUAGCACUUCAUGCUGAUUCAGUUCUUGCCAGUGUCCACUUAAAAGCAAUAAUAAUUUUAAAAGUAAGCACCCACCCAGAACAAAAGCAAAACCCCAAAAAAUCGGUUGCUUACAUUCCUAAGGUUUCCAUAACACCAUGAAAAUGGAGCGGAUGGUGUCCUCAGCCUCACCAACAGUUUUCUGGGAGAGCCAUGCAGUGAGCCACAGUCAGGGGGCUGCUUAGCCUUCCUCUACUUCCCUCCAGCACCCAGGUCUCUCCGCGUAGCCUCACGGGUGGGCUGAAGCAAGCAGUGUUGCCAUUACCCCCAUGAAAACCCUGAGCAUCCACGGAGUGAUCUCACACGUUAAAACACACUGCACAUGUGAGAUCAAUUAGGCGGGGACGACCUUCGUAUUUGGGAAAACACUGAAAUGCCAGCCCGCCCUCUUAAUGUCUGACCUCCAUCUGAAACUACGGAACAACAGCAAUCCUAAAGAUUUAAACACUUCAGACUACUGUAUCUGGUCAUCAGUGACACGGUGUGGCAGAGGAGCCAAGACGAGGAAUUAAUUGAGCUACAUGGAGAACCGGCACCUCAAAACCACACAAGACUCUUCAGAGCCUCUAAUUUGACACAUGCAUGUUAAAGAGGGAGCAAAGAAUGUUCUGUCAGGCUAUCAGUUUACAAAUCUUGGAUCUCUUAUCUAGAGGACAUUCUUUGACUAUGUAUUCGUGGUUGAGAGAGUCUUCAUGAUCUCUGUCAUUUUAAACUCUUAGAGGAUCAUAUUUUUAUUCCCUCAGUCUCUGGUGGUGAAUACUCUCUCUCAAUGCCCCUCUUGACGGGAGACCUAAUACCCAACUUCACUUGUCUAGAUUUACGGGACUUUCAGAGGCAUUACAAAGCAGAACACAAACUAACGUUGGGAUUUUAUAAGAGGACAUUUGUUCCUCACCAAGAGAAAUGAGUGGGGAAGACACUGCCGAGACUGUCCACGGGUGACGGUAUUAUGGAUACACAGGGAAUAAACACAUGGAGACAUAGUUAAGGCUCUUCAUUCCCAUAAAAAUUCCAAUUCUCACUCUCCCUGCACCAGCAAUGCAAACUUGGUCUAGUUACUUGACCAUUCUUGCUCCAUUUCCUCAGCUGAAAAAUAGGAGUAAUAUUCUCUUGCCCAUGGGAUUGCUGUAUUAAAAACAACAAAAAUGAGAUAUGGAAACAAGCAGCCAGGAAUGUAGUAAGAACAACAAAUAAAGCAAUAAUCACC